AGGUAGAAGGUGGGUGGGUGGGUAAUUCUGUCACAGAUGAGUUGGUCCCCUGAACUUAGCUACCAGCUCAUGUCCAGGGGACCUUAGUAUCUGAGACCAAGACAUUUUACUACAGUCAUGUCUUUUGCAGGGAGCUAAGAUCACCAGGAAUCAUCUGCCAUUUCAGACCCUUUGCUGCUUCCUGCCAGGUGGCCCCCACUGCCAAGAAGAAAUGGUGGAUUUCCCAGUCUUGCCAGACUUCUCCCAGCAAGUACCUCUGUCCAACAAUCUCUUCUUAUUCACACAUCUCCUUCUUCUUCUUUGGCCUGGAGAGGUGAACUCAGAGGAGGUCAGUGUGGUAGGCCCUGGGGAAUCCAUCCUGGCACUUGUGGGGGAAGAAGUGGAGUUCUCAUGCCACUUGUCACCAUACCUGGAUGCUGAGGAUAUGGAGAUCCGCUGGUUCCGGAGUCGGACCUCUGAAGUGGUCCACCUGUACCAGGGGCGGCAGGAGCUCUACAGCCAGCAGAUGGUGCAGUUCCAGAACAGGACCAAACUCCUCAAAGAUGAUAUCAUGGAUGGUAGUGUAAACCUGCAACUCCUUGGCAUCAUUCCUGCUGAUGAGGGCCUGUAUGGGUGCCGUUUCCUCUCCAGCAACUUCUCUAGGGAAGCAGUCUGGGAGCUGGAGGUAGCAGGGAUGGGCUCAGACCCUCACAUCUCCCUUGAGGGCUUCAAGGAGGGAGGCAUUCAGCUGAAGUGCAGUUCCAGUGGCUGGUACCCCAAGCCCCAGGCUCAGUGGAAAGAUCAUAAAGGACAGUGCCUGCCUCCAAAGAUGGAAGCCAUAGUCCAGGAUGCCCAGGGCCUGUUCAAUCUGGAAACAUCUGUGAUUGUUCAAGGGGGUGCCCACAGUAAUGUGUCCUGCUCCAUCCAGAACUCUCUCCUGAUACAGAAGAAAGAGUUCACCAUCCAGAUAGCAGAUGCAUUUUUACCCGGAACCUCACCCUGGAAGAGAGCUUUCCUUGGGUCUCUGGUGGGACUGCCAUUCCUCCUGGCUUUUCUCUUGACGCUGGCGCUGUACUUCUUUCAGAAGCAACGUAGGUCCCAAGAAAAGUUGAAGGAGCAGGCUGAGAAGGACAAAGGUAAGCAGGGAAAGAGGCGCGCUCUUCCCGCACCCUUAACUAGCUGA
rnacentral:lncRNA from 1 species